AUUGAACGCUGGCGGCAGGCCUAACACAUGCAAGUCGAACGGUAACAGAAAGCAGCUUGCUGCUUUGCUGACGAGUGGCGGACGGGUGAGUAAUGUCUGGGAAACUGCCUGAUGGAGGGGGAUAACUACUGGAAACGGUAGCCAAUACCGCAUAACGUCGAAAGACCAAAGAGGGGGACCUUCGGGCCUCUUGCCAUAGUAUCUGCCCAGAUGGGUUUAGCUAGUAGGUGGGGUAACGGCUCACCUAGGCGACGAUCCCUAGCUGGUCUGAGAGGAUGACCAGCCACACUGGAACUGAGACACGGUCCAGACUCCUACGGGAGGCAGCAGUGGGGAAUAUUGCACAAUGGGCGCAAGACUGAUGCAGCCAUGCCGAGUGUAUGAAGAAGGCCUUCGGGUUGUAAAGUACUUUCAGCGGGGAGGAAGGGAGUAAAGUUAAUACGUUUGCUCAUUGACGUUACCCGCAGAAGAAGCACCGGCUAACUCCGUG
rnacentral:rRNA from 1 species